GAUGAACGCUGGCGGCGUGCCUAAUACAUGCAAGUCGAGCGAACAGACGAGGAGCUUGCUCCUUUGACGUUAGCGGCGGACGGGUGAGGAACAUGUAGUUAACCUAUCUAUAAGAGUGGGAAAACUUCGGGAAACCGAGGCUAAGAACGGACAAUAAUUCGUACCGCAUGGUUAGAUAGUGAAAGAGGGCGGUGCUUACACUUAUAGAUGGACCUGCGCCGUAUUAGCUAGUUGGUAAGGUAACGGCUUACCAAGGCAACGAUACGUAGCCGACCUGAGAGGGUGAUCGGCCACACUGGAACUGAGACACGGUCCAGACUCCUACGGGAGGCAGCAGUAGGGAAUCUUCCGCAAUGGGCGAAAGCCUGACGGAGCAACGCCGCGUGAGUGAUGAAGGUCUUCGGAUCGUAAAACUCUGUUAUUAGGGAAGAACAAACGUGUAAGUAACUGUGCACGUCUUGACGGUACCUAAUCAGAAAGCCACGGCUAACUACGUG
rnacentral:rRNA from 1 species